GGGCGGGCGAGGACUUCGGCGCAGGCGCAGUGAGCCGUCUCCUGGCCCGCUGGACAGCGGCUGGCUGGNNNNNNNNNNNNNNNNNNNNNNNNNNNNNNNNNNNCCCAAGAGAGUGACUCCUCGAGGCAGAUCCUUCCAGGUCACCAGGUUGGAGCAAGCACCCACUCCAAGGACAGUCCCUGUUCUCUGGAUCCUUAAGCUCGGAAAACUGGAACUACAGAGCUUCGGCCUCCUCUCUGUGAAUUUCUCCAGUCCAGUUUUACUCAAGGAAGUCCAGCUUUUUCAUCAGGUGCUAAAGGACAGGUCCAGAAACCCCGCCCAGACCCAGCAGUGAAAGGGAGAGCAGAGUCUCCCCAAUGACCUUGGGGUGGGGGGAGACCUAGGGAGGGGGGGACUCUGACAUCUACUUGUUCCUACCCAAGCAGAGGGACCAAAACCACCAAUGUCGAAAGUUUAUAUUCAGGAGGCUCUAGGGAUUUCUAGGGCCCAUCUAGGGCAUGGGCAGGGCAGAAAUCAGGAGGGGCAGCCAGCAGAAUUUGGGGUACCUGUAAUUUUAUAACAAGCACACUUUUUACCAGGGCGAGGGAUGGCUGGAGGGGACACUGAUGGAAAUCAUAGGGGGACACCAACGUUUUCCAAACAUGCUUUUAUUUACAUCUGGUAGCAUUUUAAUGAAAUGUCCACAUUAAAUACAUACACAUACACAUCUUAAUUUGGAGUGUUCUGGGGACUGCCAUUUCAUACUGUUAAUGGGGUUCUCAAGGCAAAAAUACUGAAGUGGUUUGCCAUUCCCUUCUCCAGUGGACCACAUUUUGUCAGAACUCUCCACUAUGACCCGUCCGUCUUGGGCGGCCCUACAUGGCAUGGCUCAUAGUUUCAUUGAGUUAGACAAGGCUGUGGUCCAUGUGAUCAGUUUGGUUAGUUUUCUGUGACUGUGGUUUUCAUUCUGUCCGCCCUCUGACAAGGAUGAG
rnacentral:lncRNA from 1 species